AUUGAACGCUGGCGGAAUGCUUUACACAUGCAAGUCGAACGGCAGCACGGGGCAACCUGGUGGCGAGUGGCGAACGGGUGAGUAAUACAUCGGAACGUGCCCAAUCGUGGGGGAUAACGUAGCGAAAGUUACGCUAAUACCGCAUACGAUCUACGGAUGAAAGCGGGGGAUCGCAAGACCUCGCGCGAAUGGAGCGGCCGAUGUCAGAUUAGGUAGUUGGUGGGGGUAAAGGCUCACCAAGCCAACGAUCUGUAGCUGGUCUGAGAGGACGACCAGCCACACUGGAACUGAGACACGGUCCAGACUCCUACGGGAGGCAGCAGUGGGGAAUUUUGGACAAUGGGCGCAAGCCUGAUCCAGCCAUUCCGCGUGCAGGAUGAAGGCC
rnacentral:rRNA from 1 species